rfam:Cajanus cajan Scaffold000008_20, whole genome shotgun sequence.
AGCUGUGUGAUAAGCACAAAGCGAACUAUUCUUUCGCCUUUUACUAAAGGAUACCGUGUGCAUGUCACUUUAAGCAGCAUACGCUAAUUUUUGUAAAAGGGUCUUUUAGACCCUAU